UUACAUGUAAAAUCCUUGCAGCGGUAGGUCUUUGUUAUAAAAAAUUACACAGAAAGUUGCCAGUGAACCUCAGUGUCAUUCAAAGUACUAGGACCAAUAGAAUUUUUCCUGAUACACUUCUGCUUUUCCAACUUGAGUCUUCACACCCAUACCUACAGUGCAUUAUCAAGUCUAAUGUCAGUUUCUUUAAGGUGGAGCAAAAUUUUAACAACAUAAAGCAAUCUGAAAGCAAAAUCCUCUAGAGUUUUAUAAUCUCCUCUAACCUUUCAAGUCCUACAUAUAACUCAGCAACAUGCCUUUUCUUUCUUUUCUUUUUUCUUUUCAUUUUGGAGAGAGAAUUGCUCUGUUGCUCAGCUGGAGUGCAGUGGCGUGAACAUGGCUCAAUGCAGCAGCCUCGACGUCCUAGGCUCAAGUGAUCCUCCAACCUCAGCCUCCUGAGUAGCCAGGACCACAGGACACUUCAGAGCCAAAGAGGAAACGAAUCCCAUCUGUUCUGAGCCCCCAAGCACAGUUCAAGAGGACAGGCUGGGGAGUGGAGGAAGGGGCGGUGAAGAGAAAAAUAAGAAGACUGGAACAUCCAGCCACACACGGAGGGCAGGAAGCCACCUGAUGAGAGAGCCAGGGUGUGGCAGAAGUCGCCAAGGAAUCCUUCUGUUCCCGACACACGCCUACAGCACUCGCUCAAGAUGGAGCCUGCUGACUCUGUCUAAGGCCCUGUGGCCCUUGGCAUAGGUUUCAGGACAGCAGUCCUGUCAGGGCUGUGGACCUCACACCUCUAUGUAAUGUGAAGGGCACCCUCUGGAGUUGUGGGACUUGGCAGUAGUGUUACUGCACUGGCCUGCAAGUCCCCAUCCAUUACUGCCACCCAGCUCAGACACAGCUCACCCAUUCACAUACACAAAAAUGGACACAUUGAGAGGGAAACCCACAUUAAAGUAGGGAGAAGAUGGAGGGCCCUCUGACCUCCUCCCAUCAGGCACGUGUGCCUCCUCUACUCAGUGCCUGCAUCCACCUCUGUAUGGGUACCCAUCCUCUAUUCCCCUCCCACUCCAAUGGAUGCCAGGGAUGGAAGGACAGAUGGCUGUGAAACUUAUCUUCUUAUUUAGAUUAAAUUCCAGACUUUCCUAUUUUUAGAAAAACAAAUUCCUUUUGUAUUUCCAAGUGGUAAAAAUGGCCCGAGCUGUCAUCUAGGACAGUCAGCAGCCAACUCAAAGUUGUCUGCAGUGUCAUGAUUUGGAUAUUACCCUGGCGAGACUACUUCUAGUGUCAAGCGGGUGAUCAGUCUAGGUGCCAAAUUUUAAGAGGGUCAUUGACGUCCUGAGAGCUUCCAGAGGAGGGUGACCAGGACAAUGAAAGGUUCGAAAAACUGGGUCAUUGAAAAAAGUACUGAAAUAAGCUAGGGACUUUUUCUUUUUCUUUUUGGUCUAGAGAAUAUUUGAGCUAUAUUAAGAACAUGUUGAAAUAUUUGGAUGAAGAGUUACACCCUUAUUCUAUUUUUCCCAGAUGACAGAAUUUGAAUCAAUAGGUAGAAGUUACAGCGAAACAGAUUUCAGUUGAAUAUUUAGAAACUUUCUUAUAACUUAAUUCUGUAUGAUAUGGAAUAAGCUUCCCAUCACUGUGCCUAUGCAAGCCAAGGAUGAAAGACUGUCUGUCAGGGAUACUGUAGAUAAGAUUAUUGUACUAGAUAGGAACAUGGACUAGUCUAAAAUUACUGAGAAGCUUUAGAAAAAUGUGGCUUUCUGGGUAGCAGAGAUUCUGCAUUGGUAAGUCUGAGGCUUAGAAUUUGUAUUUCCAAAAAACCCCAUCAGCUAUAAAACUCUCAGAAGAAAACGUAGGGGAAAAGCUGCAUGGCGUUAGAUUUUGCAGUGAUUUCUUAGAUAUGACACUCAAAGCAUAGCCAACAAAAGAAAAAAACAGAUAAAAUGGAUUUCAUCUAAAUAAAAAGCUUUUGUGCAUCAAAGGAUACAUCUACAGAAUGAAAAGGAAACCCAAUACACAGAAUGAAAGAAAAUAUCUCCAAAUCAUACAUGUGAUAAAAGGUUCAUAUCUAGCAUAUAUAAAGAACUCUUAACACUCAAAAAGAAAUUAAACAACACAAUUUAAAAAUGGGCAAAGGACUUGAAUAGAUAUCUCUCCAAAGAAGAUGUACAAAUAGCUAAUAAGUACAUAAAGCUGCUCCAUAUUACUAAUCACUACAGAAAUCAAAACCA
rnacentral:lncRNA from 1 species